AUGGCCUCGCCGCACGCCGACCCGCAGCAGCACCACGCGUCGGCGCCGCCCCUCCUGCUCGCCGUACGCCGCAUCCCGUACCCGGGGGCCCAGCGGCCGCGCGCGCUCCCCGCCCCGGACCUCGCCCCUCUCGCGCGCCGCCUCGACGAGCUCACCGCCGCGGCGGCCGCCCACCCGCUCCUGAAGCCGCUCUUCGACCUCCGCCACCACCUCUCCACCUUCUCUCAGAGCAGGAGGCAGAGGAUGGUGGCGAUGCGGCAGGCGGCGUGCCCGCUGGCCGGCGGCGAGGGCUGCUUCGCGGCGGUGCUGGGCGGGUCCGUGGCCGGCAUGGUGGUGUCCAACGGCGUCAACAGCUUCCUCAGCCUCUACAACACCGUGCUCGUCAUCCGUCUCGUCCUCACCUGGUUCCCCAACACGCCGCCCGCCAUCGUCUCGCCCCUCAGCACGGUGUGUGACCCGUACCUGAACAUCUUCCGGGGCAUCAUCCCGCCGCUGGGAGGGCUGGACCUGUCCCCCAUCCUCGCCUUCCUGGUGCUCAACGCCCUCACCGGCACCGCCGCCGCGCUCCCGGCCGAGCUCCCCGCCCAGAACGCCGCGUCCGGCUCCGUGCACCCUGACGAGCUCACCGCCAACCAGAGGAAAUGGAUGCGGAGAUUCCGCCCGGGGAAAUCGCAAGAGGCUGCUGGUGCUCGCUAG
rnacentral:rRNA from 1 species